GGCCGGGGCUAGGUUUGAACCCGCCACCUCUGGCAUAUGAGACCGGCGCCCUACUCCUUGAGCCACAGGUGCCGCCUACACGUGGAAUCUUUCAAUCUGCCGGUUCAUGGACACGAGUGCCGAGAUCUCUCUGAGAGGCUGGCCCUCUACUUGUUAGUUUAUCUGAGCUCAAGAUCAUCACCCUAUCCAGGGAAAUUGUCCUUGCUGUCAACCCACUUAAUGGUGGGGACUCCAGAGGACAGAGAGAAGGUGGCGUGCAGGGCACGUCAGAGGGUGCAAAAUGAGAUAGCUCCGUGUCAAGUUUGCAGGUCCCUCCCAACAUCCAGGGGCUUCUGGAGGACCAGCCCUCCUUUCAUCACUGGGAG